UCAGUUUCGGGCUUAUAUAUAAUAUGUAGCACAUGCUGGUUUCGGCUUAGUAUACCCUUUUUGCAGCACCCUGAAUAAACAAGAAUGUGGCCUCGAGUAAGAAAUAAACAUCGCUGUGACGUCUGCCACUCAUUUAUUUGGACAGUAUGGUACAUUAACAUUAUGUUUUCCUGCUAGUAUAUAAGGUGUUGAUGUGCCAGCGCACAGAUCACUGUGAACACAGUUGUACUGAAAACAUGAAAAUUUAUACAGCAAUCAUUGCCAUGGUGGCCCUGAUGUGCGUCGCUGCUGCGUCACCGGAACCCAAGAAAUUACAUGCUCUAUUUCAAAUUACAGCUACUUAAGUGCAAUGGAAAUCAUUUUCGAAGGACUAAUGCAUAGGUAAUACGAAACAUGGCUAUUUGAAUAAAUUAUUUUAAUAUAAAAAAAUAUAUAAACAA